CCCGGCCGCGCCCGGCCGCACAGCACCGGGGCGGGGGGCACAAGGAACAAAGCAGCUAUCUCCCCCCUGCUCCCUUCGAUCUCCUACCAUCCGCCGACAGAGCCAUCUCGAUGAGGGUCUCAUUCCCUUUCUUCCCCAAACGAUUCAUGUUUCAUGAGUCGCAAACAAGUACUGCCAAAACAAAGGAGGAAAUGGGGAACCACACAACAGCAGGACUGUUUUAUUCCUGAAACAUCAACACAAUAGCCAGGGCAAGGAAACUGCGUGGGUGCUGUCCCAGCUAAGCCCAGCCUCACUGCAGUCCUGGAGCCUGAGACAGACACCCACUCUGUGCCCUCUGCCUGAGCACCAGCGGUCUUGAGAGAGCUGCUGGAGAUCGAGGUGUUGCCCAGUGAUCGUCCUCCAGCUUUACCAAGCCCAGUCACAACACCCUGCACUUGUGAAUGGUAAUCAUAGAAUCACAGAAUCAUUUUGGUUGGAAAAGACCUCUAAGAGUUCAACCACUCACCUCACACUGCCCAGCCCUUCACUAAACCAUGUCCUGCAGCACUUCAGCUACACCACUUUGCAAUAUCUCCAGGGAUGGGGACUCCACUGCCUCCCUGGGCAGCCUGUGCCAGAGUCUAACAACCAUCUCAGUCAAAAACUUCUUCAUCACCUCCAAUCUAAAUCUCCCCGGUGCAACUUGAGGCCAUUUUCUCCUGUCCUAUAAUUCGUUACCUGGGAGAAGAGACUGACUCCCACCUCACUACAUCCUCCUUGCAGGUGGUUGUACAAAGUGAUCAUGUCUCCCCUCAGCCUUCUCUUCUCCAGACCAAACACCUCCAGCUCCCUCAGCUGCUCCUCAUCAGACUUGUGCUCCAGAACCUUUCCUAGCUUUGUUGCCCAUCUCUGGACAUGCUCCAGCUUCUCAGUGUCUUUCUUGUAGUGAGGGGCCCAAAACUUAACACAGUAUUCAAGGCGAGGCCUCACCACCAAAAAGUACAGGGGGACAGUCAUUGCCCUGGUCCUGCUGGCCACAUUACUUCUGAUACAAGCCGGGAGGCCAUUGGCCUUUUUGGCCACUUGGGCAUACUGCUGGCUCAUGUUCACCUGCUGCUGACCAACACUCCCAGGUCCUUUUUUCAGCAGACAGCUCUCCAGCCACACAUCCCCAAGCCUGGAGCAUUGCCUGGCCCAACUGCAGGACCCGGCACUUGGCCUUGUUAAACUUCAUGCAAUUGGCCUUAGUCCAUCUCUCCAGCCUGGGCAGGGCCCUCCAAAGAGCCUUCUGCUUCUCAAGCAGAUCUACACUCACCCGGCUUGGUGUCAUCAGCAAACUUACUGAGGGUGCACUUGAUCAAGAUCAUGAUAAAAUUAUUAAACAGAACAGACCCAAACAGCUCCAGGGAACACCUCUAGUGAUGGAGAGCAAGGUGUUUCUACAUUUUUUCCCAAACCAACAGUCCCAAAUUUAGAUAUUUUGCCAGCUACCAAUCAGAGAGGGUAAGGCUAAUGCAUCAUCUUCAACCUGAUAGCUGACUUACAUCUUGUAGAUAAGCAAAGAAUAUCCAUUGAAUUGACUUUGCUGGUGUGUUGGGGGGCUCUGGCUGCACUGCAAAGCAGUAUGAGCAGCCUGAGAAAAUCAGGUGAAUAGUUCAGCUGACAUUCACAUGUGACUGUGUAGGUCGUCAGGAUAUUCAAAUGAAAACUGAGUGACUUGAAGUGUGAUAAAGAAGAAAAAGUUAUUUUAAUGAGCAAAUUCUAACUUCACUGUGUUUCAAUUUAGACUUUAAAUAGUUAUAGUAGGAAAGAGUGUAUUGUAGCAGACAAGGACAAAACUGCAGAUUUCUUACAUCCCAGAGUAUUUGCAUUAUCACAUGAAACCGUGCAAGCAGAUAUGAUGGCUUUGCAACAUUUUUUUUUACUACCAAAGCUAUAGUCUCAUAAUUUUUCUUCUUACAUAUGCAGGUCCUCUGACAGAAGUGGAAAUAUAUAAAUUCAAAUAUUGAUAUAGAUACAAGCGUGGUGAUAAGAAAGUAGCUGUCAGGACUACACUGGUUUUGAAAGCUGGUAGAACUGUUGAAAGACAUUUCAGUGAUGACAAUCAAAUCCCAUCUGUCUUUUGCAUAAGGUUGGAGAACAGUCUGAAGUGAUAUAAUUUAUCUAGUUGUAUCAUUAGGGAAGAGUGUUGGAACAUGCUGCAUCUGUUUAUGUGAGCUAUGCUUGCACUUCAGUUUUGCUCUGUUGUAGGCUCUUACAUUGGAGUUCAGGAAAGGGGAAGGAUGGUAGGAAAGAAAGCCAGACAUUUCUAACUUCUUGAUAUCAGUGCAUGGUAAAAGCAACAUACAAUAUAUAAAAACCUUUUUGUCUGAAUAUAUGUAUUUGUAAAGAUUUGAACAACAUUUGAGCUUCUUGUAGCCCAGUUACCAUC